UCAAGUAUCGGAAAGUCAGUACACUUCCCUCAAUCACCUUUUUAAGCCCAAUCACCAUUGGCAUUCCCCAAAUACACUCCUCCGUAAAGCCCAAACAUACUUGGCAUAACUUGUAAACGCUGCAUUUCAUAUAUUCCCCAUGAAAGCCCAAACACGCAUUGGCAUACAUAACAUCACAUCAUAAAUAUCUCAUUAACUUACUUAAAUUAACUCGUCAGAGUUCGGAAUUUUCCAACUGUUGUUAGGAAUUUUCCCCAAUAAAAUUAAUGUUCACCCUUAAAAC
rnacentral:lncRNA from 1 species